AUUGAACGCUGGCGGCAGGCUUAACACAUGCAAGUCGAGCGGGGUGAUGGUGCUUGCACUAUCACUUAGCGGCGGACGGGUGAGUAAUGCUUAGGAAUCUGCCGAUUAGUGGGGGACAGCAUCUCGAAAGGGAUGCUAAUACCGCAUACGUCCUACGGGAGAAAGCAGGGGAUCACUUGUGACCUUGCGCUAAUAGAUGAGCCUAAGUCGGAUUAGCUAGUUGGGGGGGGAAAGGCCUACCAAGGCGACGAUCUGUAGCGGGUCUGAGAGGAUGAUCCGCCACACUAGGACUGAGACACGGCCCAGACUCCUACGGGAGGCAGCAGUGGGGAAUAUUGGACAAUGGGGGGAACCCUGAUCCAGCCAUGCCGCGUGUGUGAAGAAGGCCUUAUGGUUGUAAAGCACUUUAAGCGAGGAGAAGGCUCUUUUGGUUAAUACCCAAGAUGAGUGGACGUUACUCGCAGAAUAAGCACCGGCUAACUCUGUGCCAGCCGCCGCAGUAA
rnacentral:rRNA from 1 species